AGAUGACUUGAUUCAAGUAGUCUAUCUUCAAGGCCAAAAUUCGCCCCUUAGGAGUGAGGUAGUUUAAAGCUUUCUAAGGUAAAAUGAGUCAAAAUGAAGGCAAAACUGCAAAAACCGUGUUGGGGUUCAUAUGGAGUUUCUUCGAUCAAACAACUGCGCAUGGAUUUGGGCGAAUUGCUAACACGAUGUCAAAGUACAAUCGACUGUUCUGGGCAAGUAUUAUCAUGGUGGCGUUCGGGAUGUUCGCCGUUGAAAUCUCUGAUCUGCUUAUCAUCUACCUCAGCCGACCAAUCGGAACACAGAUCUGGAUGAAGCAUGCAGCGAGUAUUGCCUUUCCUGCAGUGACUCUAUGCAAUUUUAACAUAGUCCGAAGGUCUCAGAUCACCAGUGAAUUAGCAGGAUCAUUCGAGAACUUCAUAACACCAAGUACGUGUUGGUUGGUUCUCACUAGGACGCAAGCGUAAGCGCAACACAA